UUUCUUUUAGUUUAAAACAGAAUAUUUGCCUUCCAAGCAAAGGGUCCUAAGAUUUAAGGAAAGAAAA
rnacentral:tRNA from 1 species